GCAAUGUACGAAAGUGCGACGGGGGGAUCCCAAGUGUUAUGCUUUUUUGUAUGACUUUUCAUUAGUGUAAAAAGCUUUUAGAAUAAGAGCUGGGCAAGACCGGUGCCAGCCGCCGCGGUAACACCGGCAGCUCGAGUGGUAGCUGUUUUUAUUGGGCCUAAAGCGUUCGUAGCCGGUUUGAUAAGUCUUUGGUGAAAGCUUGUAGCUUAACUAUAAGAAUUGCUGGAGAUACUAUUAGACUUGAAGUCGGGAGAGGUUAGAGGUACUACCGGGGUAGGGGUGAAAUCCUAUAAUCCUGGGAGGACCACCUGUGGCGAAGGCGUCUAACUGGAACGAUCUUGACGGUGAGUAACGAAAGCCAGGGGCGCGAACCGGAUUAGAUACCCGGGUAGUCCUGGCCGUAAACGAUGUGGACUUGGUGUUGGAAUGGCUUUGAGUUGUUCCGGUGCCGAAGGGAAGCUGUUAAGUCCACCGCCUGGGAAGUACGGUCGCAAGACUGAAACUUAA
rnacentral:rRNA from 1 species